ACAUGAUGUUGUUAUCCAGUCCUACACCGGUUCAGGGAAGACCCUUGCCUAUCUUCUGCCCAUACUCUCCCAAGUGGGCCCUCUGAGGAAUGCUGCUCCUGAGGAACAAUCAGACUUGAAGCCUGGGAUCGACGCAGUGAUUGUCGCACCUUCAAGGGAGUUGGGGAUGCAGAUUGUGAGAGAAGUGGAGAGGCUCUUGGGGCCCAGUUAUAAAAGAUAUGUACAGCAGCUCGUGGGAGGCGCUAACCGUUCGAGGCAGGAGGAGGCUUUGAAGAAGAACAAGCCCGGGAUCGUUGUGGGCACCCCCGGACGGAUUGCAGAGAUCUCUGCUGCUGGGAAGCUGCACACACACGGCUGCCGUUUCUUGGUGUUGGACGAAAUCGACCAGCUCCUGGCC
rnacentral:lncRNA from 1 species